UAAAAACAAAUAAAAUAAAAGAUUUAUUUUAAGUUAAUAAUAUAUAUUCUAAAAUAUUAGUAUCAACUCAACUGAUUUUAACCUUUCCAUUGUUUUACCCUUUUGGUUCUCUUUUAUCAUUUUAAAAUCUAUCUAGGGUUUCGAUGUCAGUGUGAGUGUGAGCUCUAUUAAUAAGUGGCUCAGAUCUCUUCCGCCUGGUUCGUCUUUUAUUUGUUCACUAGAAGACGUCGAAAACGAUCUAGAAAUUAUUAAGAUGUCCCAAUUGGCCAUUGACAAAUACAAUUCUGACAAGGUAAGCUUAUGUCCGUACGUAUAUCCUCAUUCAAUUGUUUGUGAUUGAUUGAGAUAUUCAAUUCAGGGUCGAGAUUACAAAUUUGUGAAAAUUCUGAAAGCCAACCAAUGGAUUCUAGGAGUGAUAUUGUAUUAUAUCACAUUCGUUGCCUAAUAUAAUAAUAAUUUUGACACCCUUCAAGCACAGGUAUGGGAGAAACCGGGAGGAGAAAAAUAUGAGGUGGACUUUUGCAGGCUUAAAGGUAACUUACCUUAGCUAGCCUGUUACUACUUAUAUUAUAUAUAUACCUUUGGUUUUUGAGGGUAUCCACUCGCAGUAUGGACUGCGGACACUUUACCAUCCCAUAACCCACUUUGUGGGAAUACGCUUGGUAUGUUGUUGUGGGGAUUUAGUGUCGAACCAUACAUGUCUAUAGUGACGAGUGUAUUGUCAUAAAGUCAUGCAUCCUUCAAGUGUUCCAAUACGCAAUUCGGGUAUUAGGUAGUCUCGAGAUUAUUUAUCCCACUGUUUGUACCAUAGUGAUGUAUAUAAGUUAUCCCGAGAUAGCUAAUCAUGACAUAAAUAAUCCCUUCUACCUUAGCUAGCCUGUUACUACUUAUAUUAUAUAUAUAUAUAACUUGGGUUUUUGAGGGUAUCUACUCGCAGGCGAGUAUGGACUGCUUAACUUUACCAUCCCAGAACCCACUUUGUGGGAAUUCACUGGUUAUGUUGUUGCGGGGAUAUGGUGUCCAACCAUUCAUGUCAUUUGGAAAGGGGUGGGUGGGUGGACCGACUUCAUCUUCCAAAUUCCUCACGGCAACCAAACGACCUCUUGAUGGAUUUAUUUGCUUUGGUCUUAUCUGAACACACAACAAUAUUUCAAAAUUCUCUAGUCUAGUCCACAAUUUUGGAAUAACUUAGCCAAUUUUUUGCCUUUUUCUUUUGCUAUAGAGGCUUUGACAUGCUUGAAAAUUCAGGUCCAUGUGCAUACAAGUCUUUGGUGUGUGUAGUUGAACAUCAAUUCUUCAAUUGUUAUGCAUGACUCUGUUAUUUGUGAUUGUUUUUUCACAUCAAAUAAUGUUAUACGUAAAAAAAAAAAAAAAAUUAUAUUGCUAAUAUGGUUUGUCUUGAACUCUGUUAGAAAUAGUGUCUAUCCACCUCCCAAGUUAGAGGCAAGGUUUGCGUACGCUUGUGUUUUGCGAAAGAAAGGUCUGUAUUUUCUGGUUCAAUGUUUCUUGCUAUGUUCACAGGUUGGAACAUAUAAUCCCCCGCAGUUUUGAUGAUUGGAGUGGUAGAUGGCUCUUUUUGCUAUGUUGAGGUUGGAAUUGUCAAGUUCUUUUGUUAUAUACGGACAAGUAAUUAUGAGAAAAAUGAUGUUUUGAAUUUGUUUUGUGUCAACCCUACUUUGGUUUUGAUCUUUGUUAUACUUAGAUGGCAAGUGAUGAGAUAUCUUCUGAUUCUUGUUAAGACCACUUUUGUCUACUUGUGUUAUUACUAAGACAAGGGAACAAGUAUUGGUGACGUUGUCUUUUAGUCUCGUACUUAUUCUGAGAAUAUAAUGAUGUUAUUUGUGUUACAAGCUAACACUGGAGAUAGAUAGUGUUGUGAUGUUAUGAUUCUUGUUAUGUUUGAUGAUGAAUACCUUGGGUUGUUUCGCUUCUAUCUAUGGUAGGGUAGUAUUUUGUUUUAAUUUAGGAUUAAUACAUAAACUGCCCUCUGAGAUUGCACCCAUUUCAAUUGUGGUUUCAAGAUUCUACAUUCUCUUGUUCAUGAUUGUACGAGACAUCCUUUGGUAGUAGAAGAUUCUUUUUGAUGUUGCAUGAAAGAUGAAUAAGUUAUAGGGUGAUUUCUUUCUCAGUGUCCAAGUCACGAUGGAUAGAGUUAUCUAGUUUCGAUACUUAUAGUGAUGGUGUAUGGAAGGUAACUCGUGAAAUAAUUGAUGCAUUCAAACUAUACACUUGACACCGUUAGUCUAUGUAAACUUGUGUUUUGUUGAAUCAAGAAUGUAAUGGUAUUUAUAUCUUUUCAACUGCUUUUGAAGUAUAUGAUUCUCCUUAAUCUUGAACUUCUUUUCGUACGCCAUUGCCUCCGAAUCUCCCAGCAUCUGUUUCGAGCUGUUGUUUGUUACAACUAACUUGUUUAGGAGUGUUUUAGAAACUCUUGAGUUUGAUGUAGCUUGAUGGAUUUAUUUGUCUCAUUCUUAUCGCAACACACACAACAUUUCAAAAUGCUCUAUUGGAAAUAAUAUUAUGUCGUCGUUUUGUAUAAAAAAAAUUCUAUUCCCUUGUGAUUGUGAACUUGUGUUUCGCGAGAGAAAAUUCUGUAUUUUCUGGUUCAAUGUUUCUUGCUAUAUUCAAGUUGGAACUGUCAAAUUCUUUUGUUAUAUGUAGACAAGUAAUGAAGAGAAAAAUGAUGCUUUUAACUUGUUUCGCGUCAACCCUACUCUGGUUUUCUUUGUUAUACUUAUUUUUUUUCUAAUAUUUUGCAGGUGAUGAGAUACCUCCUGAUUACGAUACUAACAAAUACGGACUCAAAUAUAAUCCCCGCACUUAUGAUGAUUGAAAUGGUAGAUGGCUUUUUUGCAAUGUUGAGGUUGAAACUGUCAAAUUCUUUUGUUAUAUAUAUAGACAAGUAAUGAUGAGAAAAGUGAUGUUUUAGAUUCUUUGUUCAAGUCACGAUGGACAGAGUUAUCUGAUUCUGAUACUUAUAUUGAUGGUGUACAGAAGAUAACUCGUGAAAUUAAUUGAUGCAUUCGAACUAUACACUUGACACCUUUAAGUCUAUAUAAACUUGUGUUUUGUUGAAUCAAGAAUGUACAGAUAUGUAUUAUAUCUUUUCAAUUUCUUUUGAAGUUUAGGAUGCUUUUCAAUUUGGAAGUGAUCAAUAUGUAUAUAAGAAGUUCAAUUCUUCACGUAUAUAUAUUUUGAUAAAUCUUAUAUAUUUUUUUUUUUUCCAAUUCUAGCUAACCAUAAACUUUCAAGAAAAAAGACAGUCUUUGCUCUAAAGCCGUGACUAAGUGCAUAUUGGCUUGUGUAAAAAAAUAAAUUUAUAUAUAUAUGUAUUGCCGAGAGCACAGCCCAAGCGUGACGCUUUCCUUUUCACAAUAGUACGAUUUUCUCCUAUUUGUCUAGCUCUUUCGAUGAUCACUAUAGCAUUUUCAGUACCAAGCACAACGGAGUCCGUGUUCGUGUAACAACAAUCAUCUCAAGAGAUGUAAGGGUAAGAUGUAUCUUAGUGUACGCAGUUAUAGCUGCCGAUGUCUGGACCACCGCGUUCUUUGUGUUGGACCAUUUCCCGAAGGUCGAGUUUAUACUGACAUGGUAGGAAGCGAGGUUGAUAUAUAUAUAUAUAUAUAUAUAUACUAGUUUAGGUGUACGCGUCUUGCGCGUGUAUCAUGAGUUCAAACAUUACAGUAAAUAGGAUGAUUGUUUAAAUACUAAAGAUGAAUAUAAUAAUUAAAUUUAAUAACUUUUGAGUAUAUAAAGA
rnacentral:lncRNA from 1 species